AGCAGUCGCCGCGGUAAAACGAAGGGUGCAAGCGUUAAUCGGAAUUACUGGGCGUAAAGCGUGUGUAGGUGGUUGUUUAAGUCUGUCGUGAAAGCCCUGGGCUCAACCUGGGAAUUGCGAUGGGUACUGGGCGACUAGAGUGCGGUAGAGGAUAGUGGAAUUUCCGGUGUAGCAGUGAAAUGCGUAGAGAUCGGAAGGAACAUCUGUGGCGAAGGCGACUAUCUGGGCCAACACUGACACUGAGACACGAAAGCGUGGGGAGCAAACAGGAUUAGAUACCCCCGUAGUCCCUGUCUCUUAUAC
rnacentral:rRNA from 1 species